rnacentral:misc_RNA from 1 species
GGUGCGCGCCACCUCGUCAGCACAACGCCAGAGCGUGUACAAAGUCAACAAAAAAGAUCCGCCCGCCCCUCCCCCCUUAUCCGCUCUCGGACCCCUCCCCUGCCGUGGAUGUGCACCGAGCGAGGAGGCGCUGGCACGCGCGCACACGCGAUAACUGUCGAAGGGCAUCAAACGAGAUGCAUGAUACAUGGAUGCACAGAGUGAUGUUAGCUCGCACAUACACGCUCACACACAACGAGCGGUAACUCCCCCCCCCCCGAUGGCUGGCGGCCCUUUCCACCCUCGCGCUCGGGCCUUUCUCGCGUGCUUACACGGCUUGUUUUGUCGCUCGUGACUACGGCACCAGCGCAGCGGUAGCAGCCGCAGCGGAUGGGAGCCAGAAUUGCGUAGAAGGAUCACGACAGGCCUGUUCACGCCCCCUUCCCCCACGCACCCCUCCUUUCUUCCCUGCACAGGAGCGCUUAGUCGAUUUGUUGCUCUUCCAUGUCCGACCCGCGGCUUCCCCACGGGACUCCUUCCUACCCCUCCGCCUCCCUCCCCUCUCUCUACUUUUCCCUUCGGUCCUCACCCCUGAG